rnacentral:rRNA from 1 species
UACGGGGGGGGCAAGCGUUGUUCGGAAUUACUGGGCGUAAAGGGCUCGUAGGCGGCCCACUAAGUCAGACGUGAAAUCCCCAGGCUCAACCUGGGAACUGCGUCUGAUACUGGAUGGCUUGAAUCCGGGAGAGGGAUGCGGAAUUCCAGGUGUAGCGGUGAAAUGCGUAGAUAUCUGGAGGAACACCGGUGGCGAAGGCGGCAUCCUGGACCGGUAUUGACGCUGAGGCGCGAAAGCCAGGGGAGCAAACGGG